rnacentral:rRNA from 1 species
GAAAUUGUGAGCGGUCUUAUCAAUACAAAAAUGUAUAACCCCGGAAUUUCAAUUGUGCUUAUAUCCAUCAUUGUAGGACUUGGGUUCAAGCUUUCCUUAAUCCCUUUUCGUCAAUGGACUCCUGACGUCUAUGAAGGAGUGCGGUUCGCUUGACAAAUUCACCUCUAUAUCUAUCUCUGAGGUGUUUGGGUUUUACAGAAAUCCAUAGACAUGCAGAAGAGAAAUGCUAUCUCCACUCCGACCCAGAUAUAACAUUUACCAAAAGUUUACUGUGAUCCUGUUGUUUAAAUAACAAUUAAGGUGAAGCAGGGUAAGGAACAACGGAUCUCUUUAUGA